rnacentral:lncRNA from 1 species
UGCUGGUUACAUCUUAUUAGGGACUUUUUUUUUGUUGUCCCCCUCCCCUCUAAAAUCACUUGGCAGAGUUGUCACUAGCCACUCUUCACACGGCCCGCACUCUGUCAGGUCUGAUCAAAAGAUAUUUCCUCACAUCUCCAGACACAGGGGUAAGGAAGAAAAAAAGAGAGAGCGAGAGAGAGGGAGAAUAAAAGAGCCAGAAGGGGGCAUACUGCUCUCUCUUUACUCUGCUCUUUGGUGAAAGAAGGCUUUCUCAGUGUGUCCUUCUCCUUUCUUUUUUCCUCUUUCAUCGCUGUUCUUAAAAAUACACACAGACACAAACACCAAAAGAAAUCACAAUAACCCAUAUUUUUUUCUAUUUAAAUGAAAUAAAAAUCUUUUUUUUUAUUUUUGUAUUACAAGGAUACAUAUAUUGAGAAUCCUAUACUCUCACAUUUCUCUGUGAGCUAUGUAGGGAUUUUAGGGUUUGGGGGGGUGUAUUUAGGAGAGGGGACAAUGAAAAAGGGGGCUUUGGUCGAGCUGACCGGCUUCCUGGAAGCAAAGAGACCCCCUUGAAGUGGGAAUGAAAUGUGUAACUUUAGCCUCUCAGCUGUACGUCUCAAUCCAUAAUCCGGUCCCCAAAAAAUUGCCUGCUGCUCCUGGGGUGCUCCAGCCGGGGCCUGCGCCGAUUUAUGGGGCACUCAUUCUUCACCUGAAAAAAAGGGGGGAUUUUCCUCCUCGUCUGUCGCAACUUUCAGUCGAGUGGUCAGAAGUUGGUGUCGGGCGGCCGAGCAGCUCCUGCCUGCCGCUCUCCUGGCACACGUGGAGCGGGGACGCCGCACACCAGGCCGAGUCUGCUUUGACAAAAAUGACAUCCGUGCUCCGGGCGCUGGCGUGUGGCUUGAUGUCGCGGUCCCGCGAGAGCCGGUCCUCCGCGUCGCUGAGGAAGAGGAGCGUGAUGAAGAGCUUUGCAGACGAGAGGCAUCAAGGCCAAACAUCGGAAACUGUCCCAGACACCCCAACCUGGCAACCCGUCCCCUGAUGGCCGGAAUAAUAAUGAAUUUGAUGAAUGACAUCAUUUGGCAGCUACAGCUUUAAGGGAACAGGUAGCCCUUUCUUGUGAAUCCUGCUGUGUC